CUUCCAUUUUUUUCUUGUGAUUUUUUCGGUUUCCUAUUGUUAACAAUUUCAAUAGAAACAAUGGUGAAAACAAGAAGAGUAAUGAAGUUGAAAAGUGGUGAGAAAUCCUCAAUUGCUAUUCCCCUGGCGCUCAAAACCCUAAAGAGCCUGAUGAAGACCAAAUCGAAGGCUAGAAAGCAGACAUUUUGGGCUACCCCUCAUUGUGGUAGCCCCUCUGGUGCAACAAAAAAAUCUCAGACUUCGUCCAAGGAGGCUUCAAAGUCAUUCAUGAAGUCCAUUGUUAUCCCAUCAGUACACGAUGAUGCCCCCACGACUCUUGUGUUUCCAUCUGCAAAAUUUGUGGGUGAUAUGAAUGCCAAACCUGCCCAAGCUUCUUAUGGUUCUACAAGGACACUACACACUUGUUUCAGCUUCAGACCAUAUGCAAACAAAUUCUGCUGACUUGGAAAAUAAAAGUGAGGACAAGGUUGAAGAAAAUGAGUCGGACAAGGAGAAGGAGGAGUCUGAAGAUCCCUUAGCGACCAGUUCUUACUCAAAGACGAUUCUGAAAAUUCUAAGGAAGAUCCAGGCUUUGCAUCCAAAGAAUUGCCUUCUACUGAAUCUAAAAGUGAAGAGUCUCCAAAUGUUCUUGCUUCCAAAGUUGUUGCAAUCAAAGCCAAAGAAGGGGCUCUCAAAAAAUCUGCUUCUAAAAAGGUAGCAAACACUGGUGACAAGUCUGAUCAAGUCGGGCCCUCAUCAAGUGCUCGUGCAAGUAAGCCAUCUCAUGCAGCAGUUGUGCCUACUACCCCAGCAACUGAAAAGCCUUCAAAAUCUGCUCCAUAAUUUGUUAUUCCUUCCACAAAGCCAACCAAAGAUAAAUCUCCCAUUGCCUCAUCAGGCGAGCCUCUGAAUCUGGUUGAGACCAUUUUAGACAACAUUCUGAGUCUAGGAAUGGGAAAGAAGAAAGGACACUCGCUUGUUCACCCAUGUCUCAUUUAUGAGAUUUUCCAAAGCCAACAUCCUGUCAAUGUUGAGAAUGAAGAAUUUCUCAAGGCCAAUACUCAUCCAAUAUAUAAAAUUAAAGGUCUCAAGGUGACUCCAGCACCAUCCAAAGGGAAAAAGGUUGCCAUUCCUCCUUUUGCCUCUGGUCCUCCAUCUGCUUCAUUUGAACCGGCACCCUCAGAAGAUGCUACAACAUCAUCUGCGUAUCUUCAAACAUGCUUCUCGCAUUUCAUUUGUAAGGUCAACGCUCUAGAAUCUUCUCAGCAGGCUAUCUUGUCUAUUCUUCAAGGCAUGAACGCGACCAACAACAAGUAGAUCUGUUACGGUGUUUCUUUUAGUUUUUUGUUGGUUCUAUUCUUUACAUGACAAAAUUUAAGCUUCCAAUAAUGGUUCAGGUUGCCCCAGCAGAAUUGCAUUUUAUUGUAGCAACCAUUGAACACAGUUUUAUUUGUAUAUACUUAACUCGUGUUCUUUUGACUAGAUAUUAAUAUGGAAAGUCUAAGGCAAUAUUUUUAAUUAAAGAAAUAGAUUUCUAGAAAUUAAAAAUUAUUUUGUCCUUUAAUUUUUGGAAAAGUUAUAAUUUUAUUUCAUGAGGACCGUAUUUUUAUGUAGCCCGGAUAUCUUGCGGAAUUAAAGAAAAAUCUUAAUUGAUUUUUCUAAAUUAAGAAAGACUCCUUUUUAGAAGAGCAUAAAAUCGUGUGAUAUUUUAUAAGACAAUGUUUAUAUUUCUCUUAUUGAUUGAUUUGAAUAACUAUCAUAUUUCUCUAAUCAAUGCAGGAAAUUUGUUCAUUAUAAAAUGUAUCUGUUUACCUAAAAUAUUUGCAUGAUGACGUGUCAUGGUCGAGGCGCACGUGAGCAACACGUGACUGUUUAUUAAUGAAGGUCUAGUCAACCAACGACUAGGAGAUCAAGAGGAAAUUAAGCUGUCCAAUAGGCGCAAGGCGCAAGGAAUAUGUUGAGUAACAAGAAAGUUGAUGUGUUGACACAUGCGACUAGAACGGCUCAUAUGACCUAAACCAGAAUUCAAGGAUAUUUGAUUUCAUUUAUAUGUAAAUAUCAUUAUUUCUGUUAUUAUUAGAAUAUGCUUGUAACACAAGUUAAGGACAACUCAUAGGCCUAUAUGUAUAUCCUUGAGCCCAUAAAUAGGACUCAUGGGAUUCAUUGAAGGGAGAGGCAAUUUUUGUAUUAAGAGAGUAUCAUUUGUAAUCAAGAGAUAACUAUAGUGUUUUUAUCCACUAAACUU